rnacentral:rRNA from 1 species
UCAAGUGACUAAGCGUGCACGGUGGAUGCCUUGGCAUCUGGAGGCGAUGAAAGACGUAGUAGCUUGCGAUAAGUUGCGGUGAGGUAGCAAACAACCUUUGACCCGCAAAUUUCUGAAUGGGGAAACCCACCUGCUGUAAGGCAGGUAUCUUAUAGUGAAUACAUAGCUAUAAGAGGCGAACCCGGGGAACUGAAACAUCUAAGUACCCGGAGGAAAAGAAAUCAAUUGAGAUUCCCCUAGUAGCGGCGAGCGAACGGGGAUUAGCCCUUAAGCUGUUUUGUAGUUAGUAGAAGGCUCUGGAAAGUGCCGCCAUAGUGGGUGAUAGCCCCGUAUACGAAAACUUAUAAGCAGUGAAAUCGAGUAGGUCGGAACACGUGGUAUUCUGACUGAACAUGGGGGGACCAUCCUCCAAGGCUAAAUACUCCCAGAUGACCGAUAGUGAACCAGUACCGUGAGGGAAAGGCGAAAAGAACCCCUGUGAGGGGAGUGAAAUAGAUCCUGAAUCCGUGUACGUACAAGCAGUGGGAGCGGACAUUGCGUUCCGUGACUGCGUACCUUUUGUAUAAUGGGUCAGCGACUUACUGUCAGUGGCAAGGUUAAGUGUUAACGGAGCCGUAGAGAAAUCGAGUCUUAACUGGGCGUUGAGUCUCUGGCAGUAGACCCGAAACCGGGCGAUCUAUCCAUGUGCAGGUUGAAGGUUGAGUAACAUCAACUGGAGGACCGAACCCACUGUCGUUGAAAAGCCAGGGGAUGACGUGUGGAUAGGAGUGAAAGGCUAAUCAAGCCCGGAGAUAGCUGGUUCUCCUCGAAAACUAUUUAGGUAGUGCCUCUCGUAUCACCAUUGGGGGUAGAGCACUGUUAAGGCUAGGGGGUCAUCCCGACUUACCAACCCUUUGCAAACUCCGAAUACCAAUGAGUGCAAUCGAGGGAGACACACGGCGGGUGCUAACGUCCGUCGUGGAAAGGGAAACAACCCAGACCGUCAGCUAAGGUCCCAAAGUUACAGUUAAGUGGGAAACGAUGUGGGAAGGCUAAAACAGCUAGGAGGUUGGCUUAGAAGCAGCCACCCUUUAAAGAAAGCGUAAUAGCUCACUAGUCGAGUCGGCCUGCGCGGAAGAUAUAACGGGGCUCAAACUGUACACCGAAGCUACGGAUGCGUGUUUACACGCAUGGUAGAGGAGCGUUCUGUAAGCUGUUGAAGGUCAAGGUGUGAACCAGGCUGGAGGUAUCAGAAGUGCGAAUGCUGACAUGAGUAACGAUAAGGGGAGUGAAAAACUCCCCCGCCGGAAAUCCAAGGUUUCCUGUCCCAUGCUAAUCAGGGCAGGGUGAGUCGGCCCCUAAGGCGAGGCAGAAAUGCGUAGUCGAUGGAAAACAGGUUAAUAUUCCUGUACUUGUUUAUAUUGCGAUGGAGGGACGGAGAAGGCUAAUCGAGCCAGGCGUUGGUUGUCCUGGUUUAAGGUUGUAGGCUGGGAUCUUAGGUAAAUCCGGGAUCCUAAGGCUGAGAACCGAUGACGGUGACUCUACGGAGUCCGAAGUCGAUGAUGCCAUGCUUCCAAGAAAAUCUUCUAAGCUUCAGAUAUAAAGAAACCGUACCCCAAACCGACACAGGUGGAUAGGUAGAGAAUACUAAGGCGCUUGAGAGAACUCGGGUGAAGGAACUAGGCAAAAUGGUACCGUAACUUCGGGAGAAGGUACGCCAGCGAUUGUGAUGAGACUUGCUCUCUAAGCGAUCACUGGUCGAAGAUACUAGGUGGCUGCGACUGUUUAUUAAAAACACAGCACUCUGCAAACUCGUAAGAGGACGUAUAGGGUGUGACGCCUGCCCGGUGCUGGAAGGUUAAUUGAUGCGGUUAGCUUCGGCGAAGCUGUUGAUCGAAGCCCCAGUAAACGGCGGCCGUAACUAUAACGGUCCUAAGGUAGCGAAAUUCCUUGUCGGGUAAGUUCCGACCUGCACGAAUGG